GCUGCAGACCCGAAACGAAGUGAUCUAUCCAUGAGCAAGUUGAAGCUAGUGUAAGAACUAGUGGAGGACUGAACCCAUAGGCGUUGAAAAGCCCCGGGAUGACUUGUGGAUAGGGGUGAAAGGCCAAUCAAACUUCGUGAUAGCUGGUUCUCUCCGAAAUAUAUUUAGGUAUAGCGUUGUGUCGUAAUAUAAGGGGGUAGAGCACUGAAUGGGCUAGGGCAUACACCAAUGUACCAAACCCUAUCAAACUCCGAAUACCUUAUAUGUAAUCACAGCAGUCAGGCGGCGAGUGAUAAAAUCCGUCGUCAAGAGGGAAACAACCCAGACUACCAGCUAAGGUCCCUAAAUCUUACUUAAGUGGAAAACGAUGUGAAGUUACUUAAACAACCAGGAGGUUGGCUUAGAAGCAGCCAUCCUUUAAAGAAAGCGUAAUAGCUCACUGGUCUAGUGAUUUUGCGCGGAAAAUAUAACGGGGCUAAAGUAAGUACCGAAGCUGUAGACUUGCGCACAACUUAGAUUAUUUAAGUUUAGAAUAUGAGAAACUAAGUUAUAUUUUUACUGAUUUUUAUAGAGUAAAGAUAGAAAUAAAACUUAGUAAAAUCAGUAAAAAUAUUCUUAGGCUAAAGUUAAGUAGUUUAAGUUGUGUGCAAGUGGUAGGAGAGCGUUCUAUUUGCGUCGAAGGUAUACCGGUAAGGAGUGCUGGAGCGAAUAGAAGUGAGCAUGCAGGCAUGAGUAGCGAUAAUUAAUGUGAGAAUCAUUAACGCCGUAAACCCAAGGUUUCCUACGCGAUGCUCGUCAUCGUAGGGUUAGUCGGGUCCUAAGUCGAGUCCGAAAGGGGUAGACGAUGGCAAAUUGGUUAAUAUUCCAAUACCAACAUUAGUGUGCGAUGGAAGGACGCUUAGGGCUAAGGGGGCUAGCGGAUGGAAGUGCUAGUCUAAGGUCGUAGGAGGUUAUACAGGCAAAUCCGUAUAACAAUACUCCGAGAACUGAAAGGCUUUUUGAAGUCUUCGGAUGGAUAGAAGAACCCCUGAUGCCGUCGAGCCAAGAAAAGUUUCUAAGUUUAGCUAAUGUUGCCCGUACCGUAAACCGACACAGGUGGGUGGGAUGAGUAUUCUAAGGCGCGUGGAAGAACUCUCUUUAAGGAACUCUGCAAAAUAGCACCGUAUCUUCGGUAUAAGGUGUGGUUAGCUUCGUACUAGGAUUUACUCCGAAAGCGAAGAAACUUACAACAAAGAGUCCCUCCCGACUGUUUACCAAAAACACAGCACUCUGCUAACUCGUAAGAGGAUGUAUAGGGUGUGACGCCUGCCCGGUGCUCGAAGGUUAAUUGAUGGGGUUAGCAUUAGCGAAGCUCUUGAUCGAAGCCCGAGUAAACGGCGGCCGUAACUAUAACGGUCCUAAGGUAGCGAAAUUCCUUGUCGGUUAAAUACCGACCUGCAUGAAUGGCGUAACGAGAUGGGAGCUGUCUCAAAGAGGGAUCCAGUGAAAUUGUAGUGGAGGUGAAAAUUCCUCCUACCCGCGGCAAGACGGAAAGACCCCGUGGACCUUUACUACAGCUUGACACUGCUAUUUGGAUAAGAAUGUGCAGGAUAGGUGGGAGGCUUUGAGUAUAUGACGCCAGUUGUAUAGGAGCCAUUGUUGAGAUACCACUCUUUCUUAUUUGGGUAGCUAACCAGCUUGAGUUAUCCUCAAGUGGGACAAUGUCUGGUGGGUAGUUUGACUGGGGCGGUCGCCUCCCAAAUAAUAACGGAGGCUUACAAAGGUUGGCUCAGAACGGUUGGAAAUCGUUCAUAGAGUAUAAAGGUAUAAGCCAGCUUAACUGCAAGACAUACAAGUCAAGCAGAGACGAAAGUCGGUCUUAGUGAUCCGGUGGUUCUGUGUGGAAGGGCCAUCGCUCAAAGGAUAAAAGGUACCCCGGGGAUAACAGGCUGAUCUCCCCCAAGAGCUCACAUCGACGGGGAGGUUUGGCACCUCGAUGUCGGCUCAUCGCAUCCUGGGGCUGGAGCAGGUCCCAAGGGUAUGGCUGUUCGCCAUUUAAAGCGGUACGCGAGCUGGGUUCAGAACGUCGUGAGACAGUUCGGUCCCUAUCUGCCGUGGGCGUAAGAAGAUUGAAGAGAUUUGACCCUAGUACGAGAGGACCGGGUUGAACAAACCACUGGUGUAGCUGUUGUUCUGCCAAGAGCAUCGCAGCGUAGCUAAGUUUGGAAAGGAUAAACGCUGAAAGCAUCUAAGCGUGAAGCCAACUCUAAGAUGAAUCUUCUCUAAGCUCUCUAGAAGACUACUAGUUUGAUAGGCUGGGUGUGUAAUGGAUGAAAGUCCUUUAGCUGACCAGUACUAAUAGAGCGUUUGGCUUAUCUUUAAUAAAGCAU
rnacentral:rRNA from 1 species